CAUAAUAAUCAUUUUUAGGCUCGUCCGCAUUUAGUUCACAUCAGAGCGAUUCACUUUAAACAUACUAAACUAGAUUUACCAUCCUGAAAUUAACAACAGGUUUUCAGAAACUCAAUUUUUACGUACUCUACAAGAACGCUGUACUUCUGUGUUACUCGAACGCUAAGGGAGAUGAACGACAACGCAAUCGUUCUUUUACUGUCGAUCUCCAUAUAUUGGACUGGAGGAUUUGCGCAAGAUACCAGACCUUUACCGCCCCUAUGCGCCCAACCAUACACUUUUCCCAUGAAGCCGAAUCCUCCACCGCCUUCAUCCAUUAUGAACGCGGGCUGCUACAUCUACCCGGAUAUGUUCAACAGUCCAAUGGAUACAUGCAGAAACCUAAAGGCUGCUGACAAACCAGACAAAAGUUAUUUUUGGUGGUGCUGUGCGAAGUGGUCGCAAAAUCCUCUUUGUGACGGACCACAAUAUCCGCCUGCGCGACCACUACCAAGUGCAUUCAAAAAAUGAAGGCACUAAUUUGCGCAGACGUGAUAAUAAUUUACAUCUGUGCAUAAGCUGUGUGCAUGUAUCUGUUUUUGAAAGGUCAUGUACAUCAAUGUGAAUAAAAGCGUUCAUGAUAA